rnacentral:tRNA from 3 species
CGGGGUGUGGCGCAGCCUGGUAGCGCAUCUGCUUUGGGAGCAGAGGGUCGCAGGUUCGAAUCCUGCCGCCCCGACCA